rnacentral:rRNA from 1 species
CGACGUGGGCGACCUGCCUCACACAGGGGGAUAACAGCCAGAAAUGGCUGCUAAUACCGCAUAAGCGCACAGUGCUGCAUGGCACAGUGUGAAAAACCGAGGUGGUGUGAGAUAGGCCCGCGUCUGAUUAGCUUGUUGGCGGGGUAACGGCCCACCAAGGCGACGAUCAGUAGCCGGCUUGAGAGAGUGGACGGCCACAUUGGAACUGAGACACGGUCCAAACUCCUACGGGAGGCAGCAG